rnacentral:rRNA from 1 species
AACGAACGCUGGCGGCAGGCUUAACACAUGCAAGUCGAGCGCCCCGCAAGGGGAGCGGCAGACGGGUGAGUAACGCGUGGGAAUCCACCCAUCUCUACGGAAUAACGCAUGGAAACGUGUGCUAAUACCGUAUACGUCCUUCGGGAGAAAGAUUUAUCGGAGAUGGAUGAGCCCGCGUUGGAUUAGCUAGUUGGUGGGGUAAAGGCCUACCAAGGCGACGACCCAUAGCUGGUCUGAGAGGAUGAUCAGCCACACUGGGACUGAGACACGGCCCAGACUCCUACGGGAGGCAGCAGUGGGGAAUAUUGGACAAUGGGCGCAAGCCUGAUCCAGCCAUGCCGCGUGAGUGAUGAAGGCCCUAGGAUUGUAAAGCUCUUUCACCGGUGAAGAUAAUGACGGUAACCGGAGAAGAAGCCCCGGCUAACUUCGUGCCAGCCGCCGCGGUAACAC